ACCGCCCGUCGCUACUACUGAUUGGAUGAUUUAGUGAGGUCCUCAGAUCGGCCCCGCCAGGGUCGGCCUCGGCCCUGGCGGAGCGCCGAGAAGACGGUCAAACUUGACUAUCUAGAGGAAGUAAAANAGAGGAAGUAAAAGUCGUAACAAGGUUUCCAUAGGUGGACCUGCGGAAG
rnacentral:ncRNA from 1 species